rnacentral:rRNA from 1 species
CCUACGGGGGCCAGCAGUGGGGAAUAUUGGACAAUGGGGGCAACCCUGAUCCAGCCAUGCCGCGUGUGUGAAGAAGGCCCUCGGGUUGUAAAGCACUUUCAGUGAGGAAGAACGCCUGGUGGUUAAUACCCAUCAGGAAAGACAUCACUCACAGAAGAAGCACCGGCUAACUCCGUGCCAGCAGCCGCGGUAAUACGGAGGGUGCGAGCGUUAAUCGGAAUUACUGGGCGUAAAGCGCGCGUAGGUGGCUUGAUAAGCCGGUUGUGAAAGCCCCGGGCUCAACCUGGGAACGGCAUCCGGAACUGUCAAGCUAGAGUGCAGGAGAGGAAGGUAGAAUUCCCGGUGUAGCGGUGAAAUGCGUAGAGAUCGGGAGGAAUACCAGUGGCGAAGGCGGCCUUCUGGACUGACACUGACACUGAGGUGCGAAAGCGUGGGUAGCAAACAGGAUUAGAUACCCUAGUAGUC